rnacentral:rRNA from 1 species
AGUAAAUUUUACGGUCAAGCUACGAAGGGCAGACGGUGGAUGCCUUGGCACAUCGAGGCGAUGAAGGACGUGGCAAGCUGCGAUAAGCGGCGGAGAGGGGCAAGCACCCUGUGACCCGCCGAUUUCCGAAUGGGGGAACCCACACGAGCACUACUCGUGGACUCCCGCCUGAAUAAAAUAGGGCGCGGAGAGCUAACUCAGGGAAGUGAACCAUCUCAGUACCUGAAGGAAAAGAAAACAACAGUGAUUCCGUUAGUAGCGGCGAGCGAAGGCGGACGAGCCUAAACCGUCAGAACGAAAGUUGUGGCGGGGUCGUGGGAUCAAAGUUAAGGGUUACAAAAGUUCAGGUUAGUCGAACGGUCUGGAAAGUCCGAUCAGAGAGCGUGAUAAUCGCGUAGACGAAAACCUCAGAACUCCCUGUUAUGCUUUGACACCCGAGUAAUGCGGGACACGAGGAAUCCUGCAUGAAUUUGCCGGGACCAUCCGGUAAGGCUAAAUACUCCGAUGUGACCGAUAGUGAACCAGUACCGUGAGGGAAAGGUGAAAAGAACCCCGGUGAGGGGAGUGAAAUAGUACCUGAAACCGUCUGCUUACAAGCAGUGGGAGGCCAAAGAUUCGUUCUGGCUGACCGCGUGCCUUUUGCAUAAUGAGCCGGCUAGUGAAUGUCACAGGCAAGGUUAAGCCGCAUGGCGAAGCCGAAGCGAAAGCGAGUCUUAAUAGGGCGAAUUUAGUCUGUGGUAUUCGGACGUGAAGCGAGAUGAUCUAGGCAUGGCCAGGAUGAAGCCGCGGUAACACGCGGUGGAGGUCCGAACCAGUUUGGGUUGAAAACCAUUUGGAUGAGCUGUGCCUAGGGGUGAAAGGCUAAUCAAAUCUCGUGAUAGCUCGUUCUCGCCGAAAUAGCUUUAGGGCUAGCCUCGGAUGAAUACUUCUGGUGGUAAAGCACUGACUGGGCUAGGGGCCUCACAAGGUUACCGAACCCAAUCAAACUCUGAAUGCCAGAAAGUCAUAUCCGGGAGUCAGACUACGGGUGCUAAGAUUCGUGGUCGAGAGGGAAACAGCCCAGACCGACAGCUAAGGUCCCGAAGUCGUGGUUAAGUGGGAAAGGAAGUGAGGAAGCACUGACAGCGGGGAGGUUGGCUUAGAAGCAGCCAUCCUUUAAAGAAAGCGUAAUAGCUCACCCGUCAAGCGGCCUCGCGCCGACAAUAUAACGGGGCUCAAACCACGCACCGAAGCUUCGGAUGAUGAAUAGUCAUGGUAGGCGAGCAUUCUGUAAGCUUAGAAGCAAGAGUGAAAACCUUGUUGGAGCGAUCAGAAAAGACUCUGUCGGCAUAAGUAGCGAUAACGCGGGUGAGAACCCCGCGCGCCGUAAACCUAAGGUUUCCUGAGUAAAGUUAAUCUGCUCAGGGUGAGUCGGUACCUAAGGCGAGGCCGAAAGGCGUAGUCGAUGGAAAUCCGGUUAAAAUUCCGGAACCAGUCUGUGGUGCUGUGGGAGGACGCAGUCGGGUAGGCAAGACCGGUGAUGGACGUUCCGGUUGAGACUCCAUAGCCCGUCACUCAGGCAAAUCCGGGUGACAUCAGGGUAAAGGAGUGGACGACAGUACGCCGUAACAGGCGGAAAAAAGUUGCCGACCCCAGCUGCCAAGAAAAGUCUCGUUCGGCAUAACCACGUGACUGACCGUACCGCAAACCGACACAGGUAGGUGGGGUGAGAAUCCUCAGGCGCUUGUGAGAACUCUCGUUCAGGAACUCGGCAAAAUAUACCCGUAACUUCGGGAGAAGGGUAGCCCCGUUCACCAAGAGCGGGGUCGCAGAGAAAUGUCCCAGGCGACUGUUUACUAAAAACACAGGUCUCCGCAAAGUCGUGAAGACGACGUAUGGGGGCUGACGCCUGCCCAAUGCUGGAAGGUUAAGAGGAGCGGUUAGGGGGCAACCCCGAAGC